GAUCCACCGUCCCAAGAUGGCUGCCAGGUGCGGUGGCUAAGCCUGGGCACAUCUGAAGCCGGUGCCGACCAUCAGGGCCGAGUUGCGACGAGAGAGUGUUAUUAAGCCGAGUUGACCAGGUCCCUAAGUCUUGGAUGGCGAGCUGUAGAUAGGCCUUGAGCCCGAGCCCAAGGAUCUCUACCUCUCAACCCCUGAGCUCCAACUGCUCUGGUCGGGCCGGUAGGCGGCUUAUAGCCGAACCCCUUGCCUCGCACCUCAUUACUCUGUGGCCCUUUGCACUACCUCAUACACACCCUGCCCAUAAACUGAACUGUCCCUACAAACUGCCAUAUCCACAACCCCAACCCUGGGACCCCAUUUUGAAAAUUCCUAGCGCCAACACUGCUGUCAACAGAGGAGAAAAAUGCUUUAUUUAAAUAAAUAUAUUAUUUAUAAAGCAAGUUCGAGUAUC